UUAAAACCUAUUAAAGAAGGGUGGCUAUAAGGAGGUUUGGGUUCUACUUAGAGGGUGGUGUAUAAUGUGGAGGAUAUUAGGAGAGAUAUUGCCGAAUUUGUAAUAAUUGAUGAGCAACCGUUUAGAGUUGUUGAGGCAGAAGGAUUCAAGAAAUUAAUGGCAAAAGCCUUACCUAAUUUGGAAUUACCUUCUCGUGUAACUAUUGCUAGACAUUGUCUAAAGAUUUAUCAGGAAGAAAAAGAAAAACUCAAAAAACUUAUCAAGAACCAGCGUAUAUGUAUUACUAGUGAUACAUGGACAUCAUUACAAAAUUUAACUUACAUGGUUGUCAUUGCACAAUGGAUUGAUGAACAAUGGAAUUUACAAAAGAAAAUUUUAAACUUUUUCCAAACACCGGAUCACAAAGGUGAAACUAUUGCUAAGGGAAUUGAAGAAUGCUUAUUAGGUUGGGGUAUUGAGAACUUAUUUACAGUGACCCUCGACGUGUAAGGAAUGCGGUUAAGUAUGUUAGGUCGUCCCCUUCAAGAUUUGAUUCUUUCAAGUUAUUUGUUGAGAAAUCUAAGAUAGACAGUCAUGGUCUAGUGAGCCUUGAUGUUGAAACUAGAUGAAACUCGACAUAUACCAUGUUAGAUACGGCUUAGAAAUUUGAAAAAGUCUUUACAAGAAUGCAUGUUGAUGACCAUAUGUACCAAAAGUAUUGUCGAGAAAUAAAUGCAAUAAAAGGAAGUCCAUCUGUAAGUGAUUGGAAAAAUGUGAAAGCUUUUGUCAAGUUUCUUAAAAGUUUCUACCAGACGACUUUGAAAUUUUCAGGUAGUUUGCAUGCUACGUCCAACUCUUUCUUCCAUGAAUUUUUUACUCUUCGAAAUGCUAUUAUCAAGUAUACUAAAAGUGAUGAUCUUAUUUUGGUUGAUAUGGCAACAAAGAUGAAAAGUAAGCUUGAGAAAUAUUGGGGUAAAUUUGAGAGCAUGAAUAGUAUACUAAAAGUGAUGAUCUUAUUUUGGUUGAUAUGGCAACAAAGAUGAAAGGUAAGCUUGAGAAAUAGUAGGGUAAAUUUGAGAGCAUGAAUAUGUUGUUGUUUGUGGUUGUUGUGUUGGAUCCCAGAUUCAAGAUGAAGUAUGUGAACUUCAUUCUUACUUAUGCAUAUGGUUCGUUGUUGGGAAGACUAAAGUCUGAAGAUGUGGCAGGUUCUUUGAAUCGCUUAUUUAAUCAUUAUAAUGGUUCUUUGUUUGAAGAUUCUAAUGAUAAUAUUAGAGGUGAUACUAGUAUGAUGAGUGAAAAUGGUGACAUGUUGCUAUCUAGGUGGGAAAAACACUUGGCAGAUGAGGGAAAUAUUGAAAAAAAGUCUGAUCUUGAGAUGUACUUGAUGGAUGAUGUGGUGCAGACAAAGAAUUUUAAUAUUUUUAGUUGGUGGAUGAGAUGUACUUGAUGGAUGAUGUGGUGCAGACAAAGGAUUUUAAUAUUUUGAGUUGGUGGAAAGCUUCAUCUAUUAAAUAUCCAGUUGUUUCAAAAAUUGCAAGGGAUGUUCUUUCUAUUCCUAUUUCUACUGUUGCGUCUGAGUCGGAUUUUAGUACAGGUGGUCGAAUUCUUGAUUCAUAUCGGAGUUCUUUAUAGCCAAAAAUAGUAGAAGCCCUAAUUUGCACUCAACAAUGGACACGAUCACCUACCAAAGAAUACAA
rnacentral:lncRNA from 1 species